UACGUAGGGUGCAAGCGUUGUCCGGAAUUAUUGGGCGUACAGCGCUCGUAGGCGGUCCGUCACGUCGGCUGUGAAAACCCGGGGCUCAACCCCGGGCCUGCAGUCGAUACGGGCGGACUAGAGUUCGGCAGGGGAGGCUGGAAUUCCUGGUGUAGCGGUGAAAUGCGCAGAUAUCAGGAGGAACACCGGUGGUGUAGACGGCCUUCUGGACAAUCACUGACGCUGAGGUACGAAAGCGUGGGUAGCAAACAGG
rnacentral:rRNA from 1 species